GAUGAACGCUAGCGGCAGGCCUAACACAUGCAAGUCGAGGGGUAGCAGGAUUAAGCUUGCUUAAUUGCUGACGACCGGCGCACGGGUGCGUAACGCGUAUGCAACCUACCUUAUACUGGGGUAUAGCCCGGAGAAAUUCGGAUUAAUCCCCCAUAGUACUAAUGAAUCGCAUGGUUUAUUAGUUAAAGCAUUGCGGUAUAAGAUGGGCAUGCGUCCUAUUAGCUAGAUGGUGAGGUAACGGCUCACCAUGGCUACGAUAGGUAGGGGGCCUGCGAGGGUGGUCCCCCACACUGGUACUGAGACACGGACCAGACCCCUACAGGAGGCAGCAGUGAGUAAUAUUGGUCAAUGGGCGCAAGCCUGAACCAGCCAUGCCGCGUGCAGGACGAAUGCCCUAUGGGUUGUAAACUGCUUUUAUUUGGGAAUAAACCUCUUUACGUGUAGAGAGCUGAAGGUACCAAAUGAAUAAGCACCGGCUAACUCCGUGCCAGCAGCCGCGGUAA
rnacentral:rRNA from 1 species